UCGAAAUUUCUUUUUGCUUCA
ensembl:piRNA 21ur-3911 ncRNA